rnacentral:rRNA from 1 species
AUGCCGGACGGCACGGGCACGCGGCGGCGGCAGCCGACGAGGCGAGGUGAUGCUUCGGGUCACCGGCGGGUCGCAGUUGACCUGCCAUUGGUGGUGGCGCCUUGGACGCCGCGGGUCAGUCAGGUGCACGAGGUGGCUGCCGGUGAGGGGGAGCCGGAGGUGCCAGACGCGGCGGUGACGGUUCUUGUGGCCGCCGUCGACGAGGUGGAAACGGUUCCCCCCUCCGCUCACAGGAAGGGCCAGCAUCAGCAUCAGCAUCACGUGCCGGUCCUGAGGACGGCUGAGGUGGAAAGGGAGGAGCCCCACGCCCUGGUCAGCACCGCGCUUUUGACCGAGGUGGGUGGAGCUGGACCGAUCCCGACGAUUCCAGAUCCCCCACUUGCCGAUGGUUGCUCAACACCUGCCCUCGGCAGGGGCGGGAAUGUGGUGGAGUCGGCAACGCCUAACUGUGGAGUGGCGGACAGCGAAAGGAACAGCGGUUCGGCAACGCUGGCACAAAGGCUGCAGAUCGUACAUGGCCAAGGCUGGGACGAUGACCAACGACAGUUGUCUCUGGAUGGAACUGAUAUGAUUCAAAUUUCAAAUCAAGCGCUGUCCCAGCCCGCUUCCCUCCACGCUGGGGAAAGCAGCGAGUCCGGUCAGCAUGCCACGGGUGCGGAUUGUGGCCAAGGAAAUGUCCUAGACACUUUUCUGGUGAGCUUGUCGGAUGCAAGGACCAUGGAGGAUAGGUGCUCGGCCACAAGAUCGACGAGAUCAAUCAACAGCUCUAUAGCGAGGUUCAGGUCCAAGUAUAGAAAGAAGAUCACGCCGGUGCUGUCAAGGCCAGCUGUGACCAGGAACAAACGGAGACGUCGAACACCUCCAUCGGUCGUCCGUCGCAGUCUGAGGAUCAAUAGUCGGCUUCGUAGCGGGGCAUCAGUAAAAACCCAGCAGCGCACGCUCAUGGUUCAGCUCGGAAUCGCAAGAGAAGGAGAGGUGAUUGGCGAGGAGGCCAGGCAGGCAUACCUGCAGCUGUUCUCGAGACCGUUGCAACAGUCACACAUUGCGGUAAUCGUUGGACUCUUUGGGUGGCAGGCGGAUGUGCUGCCGCUUGGCAGAGGGAUGGAGUGUGACACACUUUAG